rnacentral:rRNA from 1 species
UACAGAGGGGGCAAGCGUUAUUCGGAAUUAUUGGGCGUAAAGGGCGCGUAGGCGGCUUGGCAAGUGGAUGGUGAAAUCCCUCGGCUUAACCGAGGAACUGCCGUCCAAAACUGCUUCGCUUGAGACCGGGAGAGGUGAGUGGAAUUCCCAGUGUAGCGGUGAAAUGCGUAGAUAUUGGGAGGAACACCAGUGGCGAAGGCGGCUCACUGGACCGGUACUGACGCUGAUGCGCGAAAGCGUGGGGAGCAAACAGG